AAAUUGAAGAGUUUGAUCAUGGCUCAGAUUGAACGCUGGCGGCAGGCCUAACACAUGCAAGUCGAACGGUAACAGGAAACAGCUUGCUGUUUCGCUGACGAGUGGCGGACGGGUGAGUAAUGUCUGGGAAACUGCCUGAUGGAGGGGGAUAACUACUGGAAACGGUAGCUAAUACCGCAUAAUGUCGCAAGACCAAAGAGGGGGACCUUCGGGCCUCUUGCCAUCGGAUGUGCCCAGAUGGGAUUAGCUAGUAGGUGGGGUAACGGCUCACCUAGGCGACGAUCCCUAGCUGGUCUGAGAGGAUGACCAGCCACACUGGAACUGAGACACGGUCCAGACUCCUACGGGAGGCAGCAGUGGGGAAUAUUGCACAAUGGGCGCAAGCCUGAUGCAGCCAUGCCGCGUGUAUGAAGAAGGCCUUCGGGUUGUAAAGUACUUUCAGCGGGGAGGAAGGGAGUAAAGUUAAUACCUUUGCUCAUUGACGUUACCCGCAGAAGAAGCACCGGCUAACUCCGUGCCAGCAGCCGCGGUAAUACGGAGGGUGCAAGCGUUAAUCGGAAUUACUGGGCGUAAAGCGCACGCAGGCGGUUUGUUAAGUCAGAUGUGAAAUCCCCGGGCUCAAC
rnacentral:rRNA from 1 species